rnacentral:snRNA from 9 species
AUACUUACCUGGCGUAGAGGUUACCGUAAACAUGCAGGCGGUUCCCCCAGGGCGAGGCUGCUCCAUUGUAUUGCGGAGUGGUUGACCCUUGCGAUUUUUAUCAAUAAAAAAAUCAUAAUAAAAAAUGUAUACCCGAAUAAUUAUUUUCUUUUAUA